rnacentral:rRNA from 2 species
AGACCCGAAACCCGGUGAUCUAGCCAUGGGCAGGUUGAAGGUUGGGUAACACUAACUGGAGGACCGAACCGACUAAUGUUGAAAAAUUAGCGGAUGACCUGUGGCUGGGGGUGAAAGGCCAAUCAAACCGGGAGAUAGCUGGUUCUCCCCGAAAGCUAUUUAGGUAGCGCCUCGUGAAUUCAUCUCCGGGGGUAGAGCACUGUUUCGGCCAGGGGGCCAUCCCGGCUUACCAAUCCGAUGCAAACUGCGAAUACCGGAGAAUGUUAUCACGGGAGACACACGGCGGGUGCUAACGUCCGUCGUGAAGAGGGAAACAACCCAGACCGCCAGCUAAGGUCCCAAAGUCAUGGUUAAGUGGGAAACGAUGUGGGAAGGCCCAGACAGCCAGGAUGUUGGCUUAGAAGCAGCCAUCAUUUAAAGAAAGCGUAAUAGCUCACUGGUCGAGUCGGCCUGCGCGGAAGAUGUAACGGGGCUAAACCAUGCACCGAAGCUGCGGCAGCGACACUGAUGUGUUGUUGGGUAGGGGAGCGUUCUGUAAGCCGUUGAAGGUGGCCUGUGAGGG